GCCCAGACUCCUACGGGAGGCAGCAGUGGGGAAUAUUGCACAAUGGGGGGAACCCUGAUGCAGCGACGCCGCGUGAGUGAAGAAGUAUUUCGGUAUGUAAAGCUCUGUCAGCAGGGAAGAAGAAAGACGGUACCUGACCAAGAAGCCCCGGCUAACUACGUGCCAGCAGCCGCGGUAAUACGUAGGGGGCAAGCGUUAUCCGGAGUGACUGGGUGUAAAGAGUUGCGUAGGUGGCAUAAUAAGUAGCUAGUGAAAUCUGGUGGCUCAACCAUUCAGACUAUUAGCUAAACUGUUAAGCUCGAGACCGUUAGGGGUAACUGGAAUUUCUAGUGUAGGAGUGAAAUCCGUAGAUAUUAGAAAGAACACCAAUAGCGUAGGCAGGUUACUGGGACGGUUCUGACACUAAGGCACGAAAGCGUAGGGAGCAAACGGGAUUAGAUACCCGGGUA
rnacentral:rRNA from 1 species